ACCGCAUGUAACUUACGUGUAGUUAGAGUGCAUCAGUGCAAGCCGCCUGAUCCAGGUUCAAUUAAGUUGAUUCGCAAAACUUGAUUUUAUCAUUACCAAACCGGACAAAACUGGAUGUCGUCUCAGUCACCGACUCGCCGCAUUUAACAUGUGUAUGUUAGUUAACAGAGUGCGAGCUCAGCCGCAUGGUCCUGGUUCAAUCAACAAUUCGAAAAAGCCCGGACGUCGCCUCAGUCACUGCAUUGUGUUCAACUAUUUGUAUGCGCA